ACGUGCCUGGUGUCACCUGAUCUCAGAAGCUAAACAGGCUCUGGCUUGAUUCAUACUUGGAUGGAAGAAAACAAGGU
rnacentral:rRNA from 1 species